rnacentral:rRNA from 1 species
GACGAACGCUGGCGGCGUGCUUAACACAUGCAAGUCGAACGAUGAAGCCUAGCUUGCUAGGUGGAUUAGUGGCGAACGGGUGAGUAAUACGUGAGUAACCUACCUUUAACUCUGGGAUAAGCCUGGGAAACUGGGUCUAAUACCGGAUACGACCGAUCUCCGCAUGGGGUGUUGGUGGAAAGCGUUAUGUAGUGGUUAUAGAUGGGCUCACGGCCUAUCAGCUUGUUGGUGAGGUAACGGCUCACCAAGGCGACGACGGGUAGCCGGCCUGAGAGGGUGACCGGCCACACUGGGACUGAGACACGGCCCAGACUCCUACGGGAGGCAGCAGUGGGGAAUAUUGCACAAUGGGCGCAAGCCUGAUGCAGCGACGCCGCGUGAGGGAUGACGGCCUUCGGGUUGUAAACCUCUGUUAGCAGGGAAGAAGAGAAAUUGACGGUACCUGCAGAGAAAGCGCCGGCUAACUACGUGCCAGCAGCCGCGGUAAUACGUAGGGCGCGAGCGUUGUCCGGAAUUAUUGGGCGUAAAGAGCUUGUAGGCGGUUUGUCGCGUCUGCUGUGAAAGGCCGGGGCUUAACCCCGUGUAUUGCAGUGGGUACGGGCAGACUAGAGUGCAGUAGGGGAGACUGGAACUCCUGGUGUAGCGGUGGAAUGCGCAGAUAUCAGGAAGAACACCGAUGGCGAAGGCAGGUCUCUGGGCUGUAACUGACGCUGAGAAGCGAAAGCAUGGGGAGCGAACAGG